rnacentral:rRNA from 1 species
AUGGCGGGAACUCGCGUUGAGGAGACCACGAGGGGUUGUUCGCCGGCGUGCGACCACGACGGCGGCAUUGAGACCGUCAUCGACGACCUCCCCGCGGACGUCCUGGCCAUCGUGCUCCGCUGUCUCGACGGCGCGUCCCUGGCGGCAGCUGGGUGCGCGAGCGCGGGAUUCCGGGAGCUCGCCAACGACCCCGACGCGUGGCGGGCGCUCUGCCUCCAGAUGUGGCCGUCGCUACGUCAAGUCGUCAGCUGCGGCGGCGGCGGCGGCUACCGGGCGCUCUACGCUGACGCGUUCCCGUUCCCGGCCGCGUCACCCGCGGUGUCGAGCUCCCUCCCGGCGCGCCUCGUCUCGGCCGUUGACCUGCACCACAACGGCGUUUCCAUCAUGUCGCGCGUCGUCGAGACGGACGCCUCGUCGACGUGGUUCCUGGGGUCACCGUUCCGCGUCGACGCGCUCGUCCAAGAGGGCUUCACGUCGCCGUCGCCGGUCACGCCAGGCGAUCUGAGGCUGAGCUGGAUACUGAUCGACCCGGCAACCGGCGCCGCCGUGAACGUCUCCAGCCGGCGUCCCGUAUCCAUCGAACGGAGGUGGGUGACCGGGGACUCCGUGGCGCGGUUCACUGUGGUGCUCGGCGGCGGUUAUGUGCGACGAACGGCACGGGCAUAUCAGGGAAAUAAGCCUGUGCGCGGCGGACGCCGAGGGUGGCGGCGUGAGCGGGCAGGACGGGCUAGCCGCGGUGGCCGCGGCCAUGGCCAGCGCGAGGCAGCGCCGUGGAGCGGAGGAAGCAUCGAGGCAACUCUACGAGAAGUUCGCCAAGGGGAAGCGGGAAAGGAAGGAACGGAAGGAGAGGCGGGAGGGCAUCGUUGA